GAAAGCACGACAUUGCUCACAUUGCUUCCAGUAUUACUUUAGCCAGCUUUAAGCUGGCUUUUUUUU
rfam:Kluyvera ascorbata ATCC 33433 GKAS.assembly.008, whole genome shotgun sequence.